UACGUAGGGAGCAAGCGUUGUCCGGAAUCAUUGGGCGUAAAGCGCGCGUAGGUGGCUUCGUAAGUCCGUUGUGAAAGUCAAAGGCUCAACCUUUGAAAGCCGAUGGAUACUGCGGAGCUAGAGUACGGAAGAGGCGAGUGGAAUUCCUGGUGUAGCGGUGAAAUGCGCAGAUAUCAGGAAGAACACCCGUGGCGAAGGCGGCUCUCUGGUACGUGACUGACGCUGAGACGCGAAAGCGUGGGGAGCGAACAGG
rnacentral:rRNA from 1 species